AUAAUGCACAAGAUACAAUGGCGAUUUCUUUUCUGCCUACAGUUGUCAUGUUUCAACCAGCUGUGAUUCUACAACCCCUUAUCACAUGAGUAACUAGAAAUAAGUUUGCAGAUGCGUCUUCAAAGUAGGCAGUGUACAGUUCAAACAAGGGAUUCAGAAGAUGUACUGGAAUCUAGGUGAAGACAGAACAUGUGCUUAAAUGUACCUCAGCUCCAGAUGCUGGAGGCGAUUUGGGCCGGAGUCGUGGAAGCCAUGGAAGCUCAGGCUUCAGCUUACCGUGUUUCUUGAUUGUACCUUUUGUUUGCUGGUCUCUGCAAGACUUCACAGAUGAAACUACUCUUGCUAGGAGGUGAGUCACUGUUGUCAUUUCAGUUGCCAAAAAAAUUGUUCUUCUAAACAAU
rnacentral:lncRNA from 1 species